UUCUUUAUUGAUCUCUCACGGCUUGAUGUUACAAGGGGUGAGGUGCGCACAUAUAUAUAUAUAUUAGCUAGCCUGCUAAUACCAUUUCGAUCAUUGCUUAGAAACCUAGUCGGACACGUAAUGAAUCUGAUAUGGCCACGUUCUUUCGUGUUUAAUUCCAACGAAGCUCCGGUACUGUACCAUUUACCGGGUUGGUUAAGCGGUUAUUGGUACACUCUGUUAGGUAUCAGUGUUGGCUUGCAAGGUUUGCCAGGGUUGGCAGUGCGCGUAUAUUCCCAGUGCCUCACAAUCCCAUCUACAAACAUUAUACCUAUGCAGAGCUAGUUCAGGAACAACUUCAUAUGCAUUACCUAUACACAAUGGAAGAACAUGAGCGGGUGUGUACUACAAAGAGCUUUACUAGCGUUCUAGGUUCCUGGUGCAGCACGGUACGUGGUACCUAGUGGAGCCAUUUAUAGAUUUAGGCCAAGGAGCCAUGUCAUGCAUGUAC
rnacentral:lncRNA from 1 species